AAGUUAGGGAUCAAACCUUUAACAAGUGUCCCUUUGAAGGUGACAAUGAGGUUGGAAAGGAGAUACAGUUAUAGGAAAAUAGGAAGAUAUUAAUAGACCCAGUUAGCUGAGGGGAACCACAUUCCCAAAUGAGAUUCUAAACUUGAGGGGAGAAGAAAAGGUUGAGUUGGGGGUUGGCAAAAAAACAGCAGCUUUGGUUACACACAAGUUUAAUGUGGGGACCCGGCCAAACGCGCUUGCCCCAUGGGACUGAACAUGUGGGCUCAUGGGGAAAGAGCCUGGGUGAGGAUCUUAGGGGAUGUCAUCCUUGAUGCCUGGCUCCCAUCCUGAGGGCCACCUACUCUCCGUCUGGUGCUUAGGAAUCCCAGCUGCCGGGCUGACACCUCGAAGCAGGAGGGACCCAUGGUCUGCCACCGUUACUCUUGUUACCAGGCUGCCAGCCCUUCGCACCUCCUGCCAGAUUUAGAAUAAGAAGCUAGAACAGCGUGUGCCGUGUUUGUGUUUCCCUUCCUUGGUGCCUGCCUUCACAUUUCCUUCGCCGGUUUCUCUGUGUGUUCGUGUGUGUGUGUGUGUGUGUGUGUGUGUGUGUGUGAUUACAUCUUUAAAAACAAGCCAUUUGGGUGAAUGGAGGAGGACUUCCAGUGGGAGGCACAAGCGGCUGAAGGGCAGCUCCAAGCAGAGGGUGUGUGCCAGCCGCCAGCCGCAACAUCCAACUGGAGGCGAGUCUUGGGCAUUCCAUGGAGAGGCCCACACAGAGAUCAUCCCAGGCUGGGGAAUGCAGCUCAGUGGGAGAGCGCUCGCCGAGCAAGUGCGCACAAGGCCCUGGGCUAAGUUCUCAGCAUUGAAGAAAUAGAAAUAAAUAAAAAAAUAAAAGAGAAACCCAUCAAUCACUCCGACAGGCAAAAUGAGUUCUAGGAAAGCAGCCACCAGGUCGCACUCUGGGCCAUUUUUUUUUCCUCUUAAAGUAAGUUCUGUCUGAUUUGUUUCUUUACUUAAGAUUUAUUUUAUUUUAAUACACAUGGUUGCUUUGCAUGCAUGUCUGUGUGCAGCACCCAUAUGGCAGCUCACAAUCACCCGUAACUCAAGUUUCAGAGGAUCCAACUCCCUCUUCUGGCCUCCAUAGAGACCAGGCACACACGUAGUACAUAGAUGAACAUGCAGGCAGAAACCCAUCCAUAUAAAACAAAAGAUAAAUAAAUCUUUACGAAAGAAAAAAUUUUGUCCAUUAAAGUACACAAAACGAUGUUUGGCCCCAUAAAACCAAGGCAGACAUUAGGAGAUAUCACUCUUUUUUUUUUUUUUUCAAAAUUACAUUUAGAGUGUGAGUUUAAUGUCUGUCCGUCUGUCUGUCCGUCCGUCUGUCGGCCUGCCUGUCACAGUCCAGGAGUUGUGAAGGUCAAGGAUAACUUGUGGGAGUCAGUUCUCGCCUUCCACUAUGUUGAUGUUGGGGCUGAACUCAGGUCAUCAGGCCUGCAAGGGCCUUUACCUGCUGAGCUUGUCAGGUGUGGUGUCACACUCCUUUAGUCCCAGUACUUGGGAAGCAGAGACAGGCAACUCUCUGGGAGCUUCAAUGCCAACCUGGUCUACACAGUGAGUUCCAGAGCAGCCAGGGCUAUAGAGAGCUUGUCUCAAAACAAACAAACAAACAAACAAACAAACAAAGAAUCUAUUAUUAUGGGCCGGGCGUGGUGGUGCACGCCUUUUAUCCCAGCACUUGGGAGGCAGGUGGAUGUCUGAGUUCGAGGCCAGCCUGAUCUACAAAGUGAGUUCCAGGACAGCCAGGGCUAUACAGAGAAACCCUGUCUCAAAAAACAAAAAAACCCAAACAACAAAAAAAGAACCUAUUAUUACUGUUGUUGUUGUUAUUAGUGGGGGGGCAGCUAUCAGAGGAUGGUUUUGGGGGUCAGCUCAUUCCUUCUUCCCCUUCAUGAGUUUCAGGGAUGGAACUCAAGUUGUCAGGCUUGCUUAGCAAAGGGCUUUUAUCUACUGAGCCAUUUCGUCAGCCCUACCUAACAUUUUUAGUCUUGCAGAUCCUUUUGAGUUUCCUGACAUACUUGAUAGUAAUAAGCAGAUAAAUGCCAUGCCUGAUGCCUGGUGCUGGGUGGAGGGUGUGAUCGGAACAUGGUCUCCUUGGAGUUAUCCCUUCCUAAAGAGUUCUGGGGGACAGAUGAAGGUCCCUGACCAUGACUUCUGGCUAUCAGGCUUAGAUUGUCUAGACACAUUGUACACAGAACCUGCAUUCCCAAAGCAACCUCUCUUAACUAUAUCCAGGGAAGGAACAACAUGGCUUUGACUUCCAGCUUCACCCCGCCCUGCCCCUAUCCUUUCCCAAGGUCCGUGGCGACUCAGUGCCUCCCAUUCCUGUAUCAGACCCAGGCACUCUUCUGUGCUAGCAAGCACUCUGCCUCUGAGCUGUAUCCCCUGCCUUCCAUUGCCUUUAAAAACCCAAGCUACCCACUGCAUUUAAAAACCCAAGCAACCCACUGCAGCUUUUCCAGGUACACACUGAAGUCCUGUGUGUGAUGGAGUGUCAUUCUCUGGCAGGGUAUAGAGGGCAGGCUCUGUGAACUCUGUGGGGAAGGAACAAAAAGGGAUAAAGGCUUUUUCUAACUGAACCAAAGAGGCUUCUCGUGGAAAAUUAGCACCUGUCUGUCCAUUGAACCUCCCAUUUAUUCAUCAACAAAACUUGAUUGAUGUAAGGCAGAUGCCAUGACAGGAGGCCCUGGCCUGGGAGGAACUGCGGCCCAGUGAUGAGGCACAUGUAGCUUGUGAUGGGUUCCCUGGGAAGCCCGGCCCCUGACCAGCGUGCAGGGGAGUUUCAGGAAGUUAGAAUAGUGUAAAUGAACAAGUGCAGCAGGAGCAGACGGUGGUGGCGCACGCCUUUAAUCCCAGCACUAAGGAGACAGAGGCAGACAGAGCUCUGUGAGUUCAAGGCCAGCCUGGUCUAUAGAGUUCCAGGACAGCCAGGGCUACAAAGAUACCCUGUCCC
rnacentral:lncRNA from 1 species